rnacentral:misc_RNA from 1 species
AACGCACGAGACCUGCGGACCUGCGGAGGGAUCAUUAAUGAGAAACUGCCCCUCGCGGGUAGAUCUCCCACCCUUUGUAAACUUACCUUUGUUGCUUUGGCAGGCCCGUCUCCGGACCGCCGGCUUCGGCUGGCCGGUGCCUGCCAGAGGAUUCUAAAACUCUGUCUGUCAGUGUUGUCUGAGUCUAUAUACAAUCGUUAAAACUUUUAACAACGGAUCUCUAGAUCGGAAGAGCACACG